rnacentral:rRNA from 1 species
CCGUCAGGAUGAACGCUGGCGGCGUGCCUAAUACAUGCAAGUCGAGCGAACUGAUUAGAAGCUUGCUUCUAUGACGUUAGCGGCGGACGGGUGAGUAACACGUGGGCAACCUGCCUGUAAGACUGGGAUAACUUCGGGAAACCGAAGCUAAUACCGGAUAGGAUCUUCUCCUUCAUGGGAGAUGAUUGAAAGAUGGUUUCGGCUAUCACUUACAGAUGGGCCCGCGGUGCAUUAGCUAGUUGGUGAGGUAACGGCUCACCAAGGCAACGAUGCAUAGCCGACCUGAGAGGGUGAUCGGCCACACUGGGACUGAGACACGGCCCAGACUCCUACGGGAGGCAGCAGUAGGGAAUCUUCCGCAAUGGACGAAAGUCUGACGGAGCAACGCCGCGUGAGUGAUGAAGGCUUUCGGGUCGUAAAACUCUGUUGUUAGGGAAGAACAAGUACGAGAGUAACUGCUCGUACCUUGACGGUACCUAACCAGAAAGCCACGGCUAACUACGUGCCAGCAGCCGCGGUAAUACGUAGGUGGCAAGCGUUAUCCGGAAUUAUUGGGCGUAAAGCGCGCGCAGGCGGUUUCUUAAGUCUGAUGUGAAAGCCCACGGCUCAACCGUGGAGGGUCAUUGGAAACUGGGGAACUUGAGUGCAGAAGAGAAAAGCGGAAUUCCACGUGUAGCGGUGAAAUGCGUAGAGAUGUGGAGGAAACACCCUGUGGCGAAGGCGGCUUUUUGGUUCUUAAC